UUACUUAUGAAGUUCAAACUACCAAAAGAAAUUGCAAUGUUUGCCUUCUUUUUCUUUAGAGUCCACGAAAGAGGAAGACGAGUCACAGCACAACCCCCGCUUUAGAGUAUCACGUUGGGUGGGUGAUGGAUUCCAGGGACCAUGGGCCAAGACCACCCUCUGUCAGCAGUUCAAAUGUUUCACCUUCAGAAGCUGCCCCACUCACAGGAAGCUGCAGCUGCAUGCCUCAAUCAUUCCCAAAGUUUGAGCAUCCUUCUCAUGAACUCCUGAAGGAAAAUGGCUUUACCCAACAAGUGUACCAGAAGUAUCGUCGAAGGUGCUUAAGUGAGAGAAAACGCUUGGGAAUUGGACAGUCACAGGAAAUGAACACCCUCUUUCGUUUCUGGUCCUUCUUCCUCAGAGAGCACUUCAAUAGGAAAAUGUAUGAGGAAUUUAGACAACUUGCUUGGGAAGAUGCAAAAGAGAAUUACAGGUAUGGGUUAGAAUGUCUGUUCAGGUUUUAUAGUUAUGGACUGGAAAAAAAAUUCAGACAAGAAAUUUUUAAGGAUUUUCAAGAAGAAACCAAAAAAGACUACGAAUCUGGUCAGCUGUAUGGACUGGAAAAAUUUUGGGCCUAUCUGAAAUAUUCUCAAUCUAAGACCCAGUCUGUUGACCCAAAACUUCAGGAAUACCUCUGCAGUUUUAAGAAGUUAGAAGACUUCCGUGUUGAUCCCCCUACCAGUGAGGAAUUUGGAAGAAAAAGACAUCCAUCUACUUCUGGGGAGGAGAGUAGUCACCACACACUUCCGUCCCACUGUUCAACACCACCAAGUGCUGCUGAGCCUGCAUCUGCCAGGGAGCUGCAG
rnacentral:lncRNA from 14 species